GUAAUCUAUCUCAGAAUCAAAAAGCUCUGGAGACAGAGACAGCGUCUUCUCCGAGCCUUUAUCUCUUACCACCAUCAUUUUCUCAGCUGGGAGCAGGCGACGACCCUGCUUCCAAUAUGCUGCUCAAUGAUUUUAGAUGAUUGAUCUUUCUAAAGUGCUUUUCCGUUUCUUGCCACACAGACGCGGAGAGAUUAAGCAAUUAUGGAUUAUUUCAACAUCAGAUGGCCCAAGACAAUUAGUCAGAGGAGAAGCAAAGAAGUGGCCCUGCUGGCUUUUGGUGAAGGGGAAUUUUCAGGCGGAGUUCAAGUUCAAACUUGAACACUUGUACAAAGACUCCUUGGAUGAUCUGCUUGUGAUAUUGGAGCAUUUCCUCCUUGCUGGCUGACACAAUGGCAAGCUUUGUCAGUGAAGAGUGCCGAAGAGACACUGCAGGAGGAAGGGGCUUCUCUCCCAGUUCCAGGGUAAGUUUCUUCCCGCUGGCUUACGUGUCACUCAGCUGUUGUACAGGACACUCAGUGAAGCUCACCCCCAGCAAGUUUUGGUGGCACUUCUGUAGGCACUUUACCUGUGAGUUGUAUGGAUACUCCUUUUUCCUUCCUUUCAUGUGAUGAGUUCAGCAGCAGCCCCCACAGGUGGCUUCCAGGACACUCUUGGGAACAUUCCAGUGAGAAGAGUCUUGCCUACCAUGCAUGGCCACUGGCACUCUGGUGUGAGUUUUCCUGCUUGCCACUUCUCUCCUGCACAUCCCUGACCACCAAUUUGCACAGUAACUGUGGACCCACCUCUGGCUCAGGGCAAC
rnacentral:lncRNA from 1 species